GCUUGCUUCAACAGCAUAUACUAAAAAUGGAAUGCUAAAAAGAAGAUGAGCAUGAUUUCUGCUCAAGAAUGACACAGAAACUCAUGAUAUAUUUCAUGUUUUU